UUGGACAAUGGACGCAAGUCUGAUCCAGCCAUUCCGCGUGCAGGAUGAAGGCCCUCGGGUUGUAAACUGCUUUUGUACGGAACGAAAAGGUCUCUAUUAAUACUAGGGGCUCAUGACGGUACCGUAAGAAUAAGCACCGGCUAACUACGUGCCAGCAGCCGCGGUAAUACGUAGGGUGCAAGCGUUAAUCGGAAUUACUGGGCGUAAAGCGUGCGCAGGCGGUUAUGUAAGACAGAGGUGAAAUCCCCGGGCUCAACCUGGGAACUGCCUUUGUGACUGCAUAGCUAGAGUACGGUAGAGGGGGAUGGAAUUCCGCGUGUAGCAGUGAAAUGCGUAGAUAUGCGGAGGAACACCGAUGGCGAAGGCAAUCCCCUGGACCUGUACUGACGCUCAUGCACGAAAGCGUGGGGAGCAAACAGGAUUAGAUACCCUGGUAGUCCACGCCCUAAACGAUGUCAACUGGUUGUUGGGUCUUCACUGACUCAGUAACGAAGCUAACGCGUGAAGUUGACCGCCUGGGGAGUACG
rnacentral:rRNA from 1 species